GACUACAGCCAUGCCAUCCUGAAAAAGCCUGAUCCUGUCUGAUCUCAGAAGCUAAGCAGGGUCGGGCCUGGUUAGUACUUAGAUGGGAGACCACCUAGGAAGACCAGAUCCUGUAGGCA
rnacentral:rRNA from 1 species